rnacentral:tRNA from 1 species
CGCGGGGUGGAGCAGCCUGGUAGCUCGUCGGGCUCAUAACCCGAAGGUCGCAGGUUCAAAUCCUGCCCCCGCAACUC